UCAGAGCCAUAUCUCCCUUCAGUUCUCAUCUGGUUUCCCACUGAAGAUAAGCAGGGUUGAGUGUGGUUAGUACCUGGAUGGGAGACCUCCUGGGGAAAACUAAGCUUGCUGCU
rnacentral:rRNA from 1 species